rnacentral:rRNA from 1 species
AUGUGCCAUCAUAUCAAUGGUUUGCUUCGAAAAUUCUGGUGGGGUUCCAAGGAGGGUGAAAGGAAAACUGUUUGGGUCUCUUGGGAGGUUAUGUCACAACCAAACUCUAUGGGAGGCAUGGGUUUCCGUGACAUCGAGCUAUUUAACUUAGCACUCUUGGCUCGUUGGGCAUGGCGCCUUUUGCAGGAACCAGACUCCCCGAGUGCCCGAAUUUUAAAAGUUGUGUACUGUCUUAACAGUACGGUAUUGGAAGCGGAGCUAGGGAGGCAUCCAUCGCAAGUCUGGUGCUCCAUUGUUGAGGGUAGAGACACACUUAAGCUUGGGUUGAUCAAGAGGAUCGGUACUAGAGAAGGGACAGACAUAUGGUUAGAUAACUGGAUCCUGAGGGACUUCAAGCUCCCGAGGGUCUCAGAUCUGAUUGAUAAUGCCAUGGCAUCUGUUGGGGAACGUAGUAAUUUCAAAAAAAAUUCCUACGUACACGCAAGAUCAUGGUGA